rnacentral:rRNA from 1 species
AGCGAAGAAACCGGGGCUUCGGCCCCGGGUGCACAGCGGCGAACGGGUGAGUAACACGUGGGUAAUCUGCCCUCGGCACUGGGAUAGCCCGGGGAAACCCGGAUUAAUACCGGAUAGCCUCUCGGUUCCUCGGAACCGUGAGAAAAGGUGGCUUCGGCUUCCGGCUGAGGAGGAGCCUGCGGCGGAUUAGCUUGUUGGUGAGGUAAUGGCUCACCAAGGCGACGAUCCGUAGCUGGUCUGAGAGGACGAUCAGCCACACUGGGACUGAGACACGGCCCAGACUCCUACGGGAGGCAGCAGUGGGGAAUCUUGCGCAAUGGGCGAAAGCCUGACGCAGCGACGCCGCGUGAGGGAAGAAGGCCUUCGGGUUGUAAACCUCUUUCAGGAGGGACGAAGCCACUCGGGUUAAUACCCCAGAGGGUGACGGUACCUCCAGAAGAAGCCCCGGCUAACUACGUGCCAGCAGCCGCGGUAAUACGUAGGGGGCAAGCGUUGUCCGGAUUUAUUGGGCGUAAAGCGCGUGUAGGCGGCUAGGUAGGUCUGCUGUGAAAACUCGAGGCUCAACCUCGAGAUGUCGGCAGAAACCCUCUGGCUAGAGUCCGGAAAAAGAGAGUGGAAUUCCC